UCACCAGGCCCACUGAGAGCAGGUGACCACUUCUAGGGGCUGGGCUUUCUGGCCUUUCCAUCCAGCCCCAGGGGAAGCUGCAUGCCCACCCUGUUAGCUGGAGUCCUUUGGAGCAGGCAGGCUCUUCUUCCCAUACAGACUAGAGAAGUUUUCAGCAAUUAUGGCCUGAAGAAUGCUUUGUUUCUCUCCCUCUCUUUCUUCCUCUGUUUUCAAAGCUCUGAAGCAUCUGAUUCAAAAGCACAACAAAAAGCAGACACAUCAGGCCAAAUUAUGCCCUCUCUGGACAGGAACUGUACAUGCAGAUUAAAGAACUGAGUUGGUUCACAGGAAGAAAAUGACAUGGACUUUUCAGAACAGACAGAAAAGAGAGGCAAGAUAGUUGAGCUGGGAGGACAGCUGAUUUGCCAUGAACACAGCCCAGCCGCCAGAUUCCAGAUGAUGCCAUGAUGCCAACCUGAAUUCCCUGGGCAGACAACCCCACCACAUGUCUUGGGGCCCUGCCUUUCCAGAUCCCAGCCCCACUAGGGAAAGAGAGAGACUGGCUGGGAGUAUCGAUCGACUUGCCAAUGCCCAUGUUCAGUGGAGAAGCAAUUACAGAAGCCAGACUUUCCACCUUUUGCACCCCAUAGUGGCCCACUCCCAGAGGGAUAAAGAAUAGUGAAGCUAUCAAGGGAGGACAUUGGAUAUGGAGUUCUAGGGAGUGGGCAUUAUGUGGAAAUGUACCCCUC